rnacentral:rRNA from 1 species
GAUGAACGCUGGCGGCGUGCUUAAGACAUGCAAGUCGAACGGAGUGUGUAGCAAUACUCACUAAGUGGCGAAUGGGUGAGUAACACGUAGGUGACCUGCCCUGAAGUGCGGAAUAACAGUCCGAAAGGAUUGCUAAUACCGCAUGUGGUCCCGGGCGUUAGAGACCGGGUCUAAAGCAGUAAUGCGCUUCAGGAGGGCCUGCGGUCCAUCAGCUAGUUGGUAGGAAU